GACGAACGCUGGCGGCGUGCUUUACACAUGCAAGUCGAACGGUGAAGGUGGAGCUUGCUCCGCCGGAUCAGUGGCGAACGGGUGAGUGACACGUGGGCAACCUGCCCCUAACUUUGGGAUAACUACUCGAAAGAGUAGCUAAUACCGGAUACGAAGUCUGUAGGCAUCUACGGAUUUGGAAAGUUUUUCGGUUAGGGAUGGGCCCGCGGCCUAUCAGCUUGUUGGUGAGGUAGUGGCUCACCAAGGCAACGACGGGUAGCCGGCCUGAGAGGGCGACCGGCCACACUGGGACUGAGACACGGCCCAGACUCCUACGGGAGGCAGCAGUGGGGAAUAUUGCGCAAUGGGCGAAAGCCUGACGCAGCAACGCCGCGUGCGGGAUGAAGGCCUUCGGGUUGUAAACCGCUUUCAGCAGGGAAGAAGCGAAAGUGACGGUACCUGCAGAAGAAGCACCGGCUAACUACGUGCCAGCAGCCGCCGUAA
rnacentral:rRNA from 1 species